rnacentral:lncRNA from 1 species
GAAGCUUUUAAAAUUGGAUUUUUUGGAUCCCUUUUUACUCUUAAUAUAGUCUCGCUGUGUUGCCUAGGCCGGAGUGCAUGGUGCGAUCUGGGCUCACUGAAACCUCCACCUCCUGGGUUCGAGUGAUUCUCCUGCCUCAGCCUCCUGAGGAGCUGGGAUUACAGCACUCUUUCCAUUUCUUACCCCAGUUUUUGAAGCCCUAAAUAUCGGUUUGUUUCCAAAAGAUGUUACCCAUUUUUUAAAAAAUUCCAUUGAAAGGAUGAAAGAAAGUCGCCUCAAAGAUAAACAAAAGCAUCGAGUAGAUUUCUUUCAACAGAUGAUCGACUCCCAGAAUUCCAAAGAAAC